UGGGGAAUUGUUCGCAAUGGGCGCAAGCCUGACGACGCAGCGCCGCGUGGAGGAUGAAGGUCUUCGGAUUGUAAACUCCUGUUGAUCGGGACGAACAACCAUCGGGAUAACACCCCGGUGGUCUGACGGUACCGAUUGAGGAAGCCCCGGCUAACUCUGUGCCAGCAGCCGCGGUAAUACAGAGGGGGCAAGCGUUGUUCGGAAUUACUGGGCGUAAAGGGCGCGUAGGCGGCCACCUAAGUCAGACGUGAAAUCCCUCGGCUCAACCGGGGAACUGCGUCUGAUACUGGGUGGCUUGAAUCCGGGAGAGGGAUGCGGAAUUCCAGGUGUAGCGGUGAAAUGCGUAGAUAUCUGGAGGAACACCGGUGGCGAAGGCGGCAUCCUGGACCAACACUGACGCUGAGUGAGCGAAAGCCAGGGGAGCAAA
rnacentral:rRNA from 1 species